rnacentral:rRNA from 1 species
CCUACGGUUGGCAGCAGUGGGGAAUAUUGGACAAUGGGGGCAACCCUGAUCCAGCCAUGCCGCGUGUGUGAAGAAGGCCCUCGGGUUGUAAAGCACUUUCAGUGAGGAAGAACGCCUGGUGGUUAAUACCCAUCAGGAAAGACAUCACUCACAGAAGAAGCACCGGCUAACUCCGUGCCAGCAGCCGCGGUAAUACGGAGGGUGCGAGCGUUAAUCGGAAUUACUGGGCGUAAAGCGCGCGUAGGUGGCUUGAUAAGCCGGUUGUGAAAGCCCCGGGCUCAACCUGGGAACGGCAUCCGGAACUGUCAAGCUAGAGUGCAGGAGAGGAAGGUAGAAUUCCCGGUGUAGCGGUGAAAAGCGUAGAGAUCGGGAGGAAUACCAGUGGCGAAGGCGGCCUUCUGGACUGACACUGACACUGAGGUGCGAAAGCGUGGGUAGCAAACAGGAUUAGAUACCCCAGUAGUC